UUGUCUAUCUUCGUAGCUGUUGUAACGGCAUUUUCCGAUGGAACUCUAGUCAAGUGUACUCUAGUGUUACUAACCUACUUGCAGAAAAUCCUGGUUAAGCUUUGUCCAUGGAGUCCAUGUGAUACAACUGCAGUUUAUGCGUCUAGGCCUGCUUGUUAGUCUGGAUCUGCUGCUGGUGCUGUUAAGAAGCUGUACAAACAUCGCUCCCUGGAACUGGUGAUAUUUGAUUCUUGUCAGUAUCAUUGUUGUGAUGGCAUUGAAACUUUUUGGAUAGUGGUUACAAGUGGAUUGUGGAAAUUCCCCUCUGUAAUGAUGCAGUUAGGCUACUGAUUUUUUUGGUUGUGGCAACGACAAGUGGGUUGCUUGCUUGGACAAUCUAUCAGUUUCAUCUCUGUGGUUUUUAAGUUGAACCAGCCAGACCACUUCCGGUUAGAAAAUUUUAUGCCUAUCUACAACCCCGACAAGGAAAUAAAGAAGGUAUAAGAAGAGCAGCAGCAGGUAAUAUCACAAUCAAUAUAGUGAAACAUCAUUUCUAGUUCUUUUUAUCUGUUCCAUUAUUCAAAUUGCGGAGUCUC